CCUAAAGUUAAGUAGGGGCUUGCAAUGCUAUCGUCUUACACCAUGUCUUUUGAGUACCUUCUGUUUCCUCGGCUGGGCCAGCCCGCCGAUUGGACAAUUACAAACCAUUUUGUCAGUUGCAAUCAGCGUCUGAAAAUAAUCUUAAUAUUUA
rnacentral:misc_RNA from 1 species